rnacentral:rRNA from 1 species
CACGUAGUUAGCCGGGGCUUCUUGGUCAGGUACCGUCAUUUUCUUCCCUGCUGAUAGAGCUUUACAUACCGAAAUACUUCUUCACUCACGCGGCGUCGCUGCAUCAGGGUUUCCCCCAUUGUGCAAUAUUCCCCACUGCUGCCUCCCGUAGGGGUUUGGCCGUGUCUCAGUCCCAAUGUGGCCGUUCACCCUCUCAGGCCGGCUACUGAUCGUCGCUUUGGUAGGCCGUUACCCUGCCAACUGGCUAAUCAGACGCGGGUCCAUCUCACACCGAUAAAUCUUUCCGUCAGUAUCAUGCGAUACCAGCGGGUUAUGCGUAUUAGCGGUCGUUCCAACUGUUACUCCCCUGUGUGAGGCAGGUUACCACGCGUACUCACCCGUCCGCCAUCCCCCCCAGUCAACAAAACGAACUUACACUACCGUAACG